UACAGAGGGGGCAAGCGUUGUUCGGAAUUACUGGGCGUAAAGGGCGCGUAGGCGGUUGCCUAAGUCGGACGUGAAAUCCCCAAGCUUAACUUGGGAACUGCCUCCGAUACUGGCAGUCUCGAGUGCGGGAGAGGUGAGUGGAAUUCCCAGUGUAGAGGUGAAAUUCGUAGAUAUUGGGAAGAACACCAGUGGCGAAGGCGGCUCACUGGCCCGUAACUGACGCUGAGGUGCGAAAGCGUGGGGAGCAAACAGG
rnacentral:rRNA from 1 species